CUGGAGUGCAGUGGCACGAUCUCAGCUUACUGCAACCUCCACCUCUCAGGUUCAAGUGAUUCUCCUGCCUCAGCCUCCUGAGUAGCUGGGACUACAGGUGUGCACCAUCAUGCCUAGUUAAUUUUUAUAUUUUUAAUAAAGGCAGGAUUUCACUAUGUUAGCCAGGCUGGUCUUGAACUCCUGACCCCAUGAUCUGCCCACCUUGGCCUCCCAAAGUGCUGGGAUUACAGGUGUGAGCCACUGCGCCCGGCCUCUAAGAAAAUUUUUGAGAGCUACUUGUUCUGUUGCCUGGAAUUCCACCGUAAGUACGACGUUGUGUCUCCUUCUCCAGGGCUACUAACUAAACAACAGAGGGUAUUGUGUUAUCGACAAUUAUUUGAUUGAUAACUAUCAGCAAACAUUUGCCAAGGCAUUCCUUUAAAGAUAGCCUAGUGACUCUAUUAACUACUCCUUCUUCCAGGCUUCUAAGUUCUGUUGGAGGUAAGUAGAUCCCAGAGAUAAAGCACCUACCAUAGGACCUGAAUCUUGGUAGAAAUAAAUUAUAUCAUCAUGUUAUCAUAUUAUCAUGUGUUUUUCUAUCUUUAAAGUCUUAUGUGAAUAUUCUGCUUGAAAAAUAUGUGUCCUCUGUUAGACCAGAGUUGAAAAUAUGUUAUUCAAGAACUUGUAACAGGAACCCGCACAAUUUCUGCUGGAGUUUAAUUUCAGGGUUAAUUCUGUCAGCAAUCUAAGGUAAACAUUAACAUUUUUCCCUAGAUUCAAGUCCGUUGUCCAAAAGCUGUAACAGAACUUAACUGAAUAAAUAGUUUCUUAAGAUGGUAAGCUUCCAUAUGCUUAUAAUGACUCCUCUACACGUUUUCAUCUGGAAGGCUGCUCAUGCUUUUGGAAGCAAAGAAGACAAUCUUAAAUAACUACAUUUGCUUUUUGGUGGUGCCAGAUUUUUCUGAGAAACACCAAUGGAAUUUAUAAAUUCACCAGUCAAUGGGCAAUUGAGUUGCUGUUUUGCUAUUACCACUGCCGUUUGUGAGCAUUGUUGGGAAGGUGUCUUGAAGCACACGUGCAAGUUUCCCUUGGAUAAGUAGUAGGAAUAGAAUUGCCAAACCAUGGCUUCCAGUGCAGACACAGUCUCUCCCUUGGGCCCAGCCACUAGGCACCACACAUUAAGAGGAUAUUGUCUGUCCAUGUCCUAGAAACGUUGUAGCAUCAUGCUCCUAUUCGAUUAAAAAUCUCAUUAUUAAAAUGAACCAUCGGGUAAAUGUUGUCUCGGGAAAAGAAGCACUGACCGUCCCUGGGUGGGCUCGAACCACCAACCUUUCGGUUAACAGCCGAACGCGCUAACCGAUUGCGCCACAGAGACCCAGUUACUCAGGCCGCGCUGCGGUGUGUACAGAUUUCCGCGGCGCCGGCAGCCGCUCUAGCCACCCUGGGCGUCGCCACCCCAGGCGUUGCCACCCCAGGCACGGGCUGAGAAGUCGCGGGGCGCGCCGAGGAGGCAGCGGAAGCGGCCGAGGUUGGACCCUCUGGGGAGCAGAUCUCAAGAUCAAGUUAUG
rnacentral:tRNA from 1 species